GGUUCAUUCAAAUUUCUUCCCUAUCAACUUUCGAUGUUUGGGUAUUGGCCAAACAUGGUUGCAACGGGUAACGGAGGGUUAGGGCUCGACCCCGGAGAAGGAGCCUGAGAAACGGCUACUACAUCCAAGGAAGGCAGCAGGCGCGCAAAUUACCCAAUCCCGACCGGGGAGGUAGUGACAAUAAAUACUGAUACAGGGCUCUUUUGGGUCUUGUAAUUGGAAUGAGUACAAUUUAAAUCCCUUAACGAGGAACAAUUGGAGGGCAAGUCUGGUGCCAGCAGCCGCGGUAAUUCCAGCUCCAAUAGCGUAUAUUAAAGUGUAGUGGUUAAAAAGCUCGUAGUUG
rnacentral:rRNA from 1 species